rnacentral:rRNA from 1 species
AUUGAACGCUGGCGGCAUGCCUUACACAUGCAAGUCGAACGGCAGCACGGACUUCGGUCUGGUGGCGAGUGGCGAACGGGUGAGUAAUGUAUCGGAACGUACCUUUCAGUGGGGGAUAACGUAGCGAAAGUUACGCUAAUACCGCAUAUUCUGUGAGCAGGAAAGCAGGGGAUCGAAAGACCUUGCGCUGAUUGAGCGGCCGAUAUCAGAUUAGCUAGUUGGUGGGGUAAAGGCCUACCAAGGCGACGAUCUGUAGCGGGUCUGAGAGGAUGAUCCGCCACACUGGAACUGAGACACGGUCCAGACUCCUACGGGAGGCAGCAGUGGGGAAUUUUGGACAAUGGGGGCAACCCUGAUCCAGCCAUGCCGCGUGAGUGAAGAAGGCCUUCGGGUUGUAAAGCUCUUUCGGCCGGGAAGAAAGCGAAUAGGCUAAUACCCUGUGUGGAUGACGGUACCGGAAUAAGAAGCACCGGCUAACUACGUG